UGGGGAAUAUUGCACAAUGGGGGAAACCCUGAUGCAGCAACGCCGCGUGAAGGAUGAAGGUUUUCGGAUCGUAAACUUCUAUCAACAGGGACGAAACAAGUGACGGUACCUGAAUAAGAAGCCCCGGCUAACUACGUGCCAGCAGCCGCGGUAAUACGUAGGGGGCAAGCGUUAUCCGGAAUUACUGGGUGUAAAGGGAGCGUAGGCGGCACGUCAAGCCAGAUGUGAAAGCCCGGGGCUUAACCCCGUGGAUUGCAUUUGGAACUGGCGAGCUAGAGUACAGGAGAGGAAAGCGGAAUUCCUAGUGUAGCGGUGAAAUGCGUAGAUAUUAGGAAGAACACCAGUGGCGAAGGCGGCUUUCUGGACUGAAACUGACGCUGAGGCUCGAAAGCGCGGGGAGCAAACAGGAUUAGAUACCC
rnacentral:rRNA from 1 species